CCUAUUUCUGGCUUUCACAGGCAGUAUGAAGCAUUAAUUGGCAUAGUCCAAUGCCUGCUCUGUUAAUGAGGCCACCCUGCAUGGUCCAGGAACAGGCAAGGAGUUACCAUCUGCCCUGCUCCGCCUCUCUCGUCUCCUUGGACUUCAAGUUCCUUGUAAAAAAAUGAAGCCAAAAGCCAGACUUCCUUCCAUGUAACCUUUGUGUGAAGACUAAUGAAUGUUGAAGUGCUGAGAGAUUCUUGCAACAGCUGAUGCAAAACAUCACAAAAAGGCUUUUCAAGCACCUGAAACAUUGAACAUCUUCAAGGGUAAGU
rnacentral:lncRNA from 1 species